rnacentral:lncRNA from 1 species
CGAUGAUUAGACUUGUGUUUCUCUUUUGAUUCUCUUCUUUUCUCUUCCCUCCUCCUCCCCCAUCCUUUUCCUUCUUCCUUUGGCGUUGGUGGGGGCGGGAGGGAUGAGGUGUUAGGGAAGUGAGCAAGGCACCCUGAAAACAGCCCCCCGAUUCUACACAGUCAGAGUGGGGCCUGUGAGUGCACGCCGGGCAGAAGGGACAGACGUCCUGGGAAGCAGGCUUGGGGGUUUCAGUUCUGGGAAGGAGGUUGGAUUGAGUGGCCUUGAAGCUUCCUUCCCUUCCUCAGACACUGAGGGUCCUGGGGAGUUGUGUGGCUUUGCUCAUUCCAUGGUGAAGAUGCUCUGAGGGAGAGUUUCGCUCUUGUUGCCCAGGCUGGAGUGCAGUGGCACUAUCUCGGCUCACCGCAACCUCUGCCUCCCGGGUUCAAGCAAUUCUCCUGCCUCAGCCUCCCGAGUAGUUGGAAUUACAGGUAUGCACCACCACACCUGGCUAAUUUUGUAUUUUUAGUAGAGACGGGGUUUCUCCAUAUUGGUCAGGCUGGUCUCGAACUCCCAACCUCAGAUGAUCUGCCCGCGUUGGCCUCCCAAAGUGCUGGGAUUACAGGCAAGAGCCUGGGAAACUUCACCCUUACUCUAUCUCAAACCAUGCCAGCCUGGCAGUGUCCAGUGUGUCGGCUGGUGGCCCCAUCCACACAAUGGCCUCGUCCCCUCCCUUAGGGUCUUCUCUGUCUCCUGUGGGUCCCAUCAGUCAAUGCCUAGUCACCCUAUAAAUCUAACUUUCUAUACUAACCCCAGCCCCCUAGACCUUAGAAGUACGUGGAGCUUUUGCUUUCUUUGUUUUAUAAAACCAGGCCUGCCAUUCAGCUAACUUAGUUAAGCUGGAAGUUUAGGAACCUCACUUUGCCAGAGAUUACCAUGAAGAGCCUAGGUUUUGCUUUUUUCUUUGAGGACAACUUUUUAACUAUGUGAAACUGAAUUUCCAUGUACAUAAUAAACCCAUGUCACAUUACUGGUCAUUGUUAUUUAUUGAUUGUUGCCCAGCAACUCUGAUCUUGUUGCUGUUCUGUUUGGGACCCAGACAAUGCAAGUGGUGGAGGGAUUUUCCUUGUCAGGUCUUUCAGGCUGAAGU